rnacentral:misc_RNA from 1 species
CAGUGAAAUAUUUUAUGUGAUUUUUUAAUUUGAACUUUUUUGAAAUUGUUAUUAAGUAUAAUGAAUUUGAUUAAUGUAUUAUGAUUUGAUUGGUAUUAUAAAUUCUAUUGUGUUCAUUAUUUUUUUUAGAAAAAUAAGCAUGUCAAUGAUGAUCAUAAUAUCAUUGCAGUAAUCAACUGUUGAUUGGUUUGAGACGAACUGAUGCUCAACUCUAAAAGGAAUAAAAAUAAGACUUAAAGACUAAACAACUCAAAAUGACUUGGAAUCCACUCUAUGCCAGAACUAUUCCUGAACUCAGUAUACCUCCAUAUAAAAAGCAACUAAAGGUUUGCUUGACCGAGAUAUUGACGGUUUCCCAGUUUUGGUUCAAUAUCGCUGGUCCUCAUAAUAGUCAGGCUGUUGAAGUGUUGCAUCAAGAAAUGAAAGAAUUCUACAGACUUAGAUUUAAUGAUUAUAGAAUACACAAUGUUUCUGAGGUGAAAAGCAAGAUUGCUCCUGGUUUACCUGUUGCUGCUGUCUACCCAGGGCUUGGGUCAGAUGAUCUGAAUAGGGGCCUGGUAAAGAAUGUGGACAUACAGAACAAGGAAGCGACCAUCUUCUUCUGCGAUUUCGGAUCUGAAAUAAAUAUUCAGGUUUCCAACCUUCUGUAUCUUGGAUCUGAGUUCUCAGCCCUGGAGCAGCAAGCUGUUCUUGGUAGAAUAUGGGGACUAGAUCAAGAGUUUGGGAACGACGAAGGUUUUAACUACCUUGUCAAGAAGGCGCAGAAUAAUAAAAACCUUUUUAGUGCAACUAUCAAGGGCUGGAUUGAACCCCUCCCGCAACCCUUUCCUCUUCCACUUGUUUUAGUAAACAAUGAUACAGAAAGAACAGUAAGCAAGCAACUUGUAAAGCGAGGUCUGGCAAAGUUCUGUGAAGAUGAACAGAAUGAAACCAAUGCUGCCGACAAUGAUGUUCUGUCUGAUCUCAUUUUUGAAAAGUUGUUUAUAAUUGAGAAAGUUCUCUCUGUACUGAAGGAAGUCAAUGGUCCCGAGUACGAUCGCUUGAAAAGGUUCUUUCAGAAUCAGUUGGAUCAGACAGAACAGAAACUUUAUGAGUGAUGUCUAGUCAACUGAGCCCAGGGCUUGGAGAUCACACGAGUGAAGAAGAGGAUAGUGAUGGUCGUAGCUCUCUGAGUUAUCGGG